rnacentral:rRNA from 1 species
UACGUAGGGGGCAAGCGUGUCCGGAUUUAUUGGGCGUAAAGAGCGUGUAGGCGGCUAGGUAGGUCGCUUGUGAAAACUCGAGGCUCAACCUCGAGACGUCGCGUGAAACCAUCUGCUAGAGUCCGGAAGAGGAGAGUGGAAUUCCUGGUGUAGCGGUGAAAUGCGCAGAUAUCAGGAAGAACACCCGUGGCGAAAGCGGCUCUCUGGAACGGUACUGACGCUGAGACGCGGAAAGCGUGGGGAGCGAAACAGGAU